rnacentral:rRNA from 1 species
UACGAAGGGGGCUAGCGUUGCUCGGAAUCACUGGGCGUAAAGCGCACGUAGGCGGUUGCCCAAGUCGGGUGUGAAAGCCUUGAGCUCAACUCAAGAAAUGCACUCGGUACUGGGUGACUAGAGGACCGGAGAGGAUAGUGGAAUUCCCAGUGUAGUGGUGAAAUACGUAGAGAUUGGGAAGAACACCAGUGGCGAAGGCGGCUAUCUGGACGGUUUCUGACGCUAAGACGCGAAAGCGUGGGGAGCAAACAGG